rnacentral:rRNA from 1 species
AGAGUUUGAUCCUGGCUCAGAAUCAACGCUGGCGGCGUGCCUAACACAUGCAAGUCGAACGAGAAAGUGGAGCAAUCCAUGAGUACAGUGGCGACCGGGUGAGUAACACGUGACUACCUACCCUUGAGUGGGGGAUAACCUCGGGAAACCGAGGCUAAUACCGCAUAAUAUCGAAAGAUCAAAGGAGAAAUCCGCUUUUGGAGGGGGUCGCGGCUGAUUAGCUAGUUGGUAGGGUAAUGGCCUACCAAGGCGAAGAUCGGUAUCCGGCCUGAGAGGGCGCACGGACACACUGGAACUGAAACACGGUCCAGACUCCUACGGGAGGCAGCAGUGGGGAAUUUUGCGCAAUGGGGGAAACCCUGACGCAGCAACGCCGCGUGGAGGAUGAAGCCCCUUGGGGUGUAAACUCCUUUCGACCGGGAAAAUAAGGAUG